rnacentral:sRNA from 1 species
AGGGAUCAUUACCGAGUUAUACAACUCAUCAACCCUGUGAACAUACCUAAAACGUUGCUUCGGCGGGAACAGACGGCCCUGUAACAACGGGCCGCCCCCGCCAGAGGACCCCUAACUCUGUUUUUAUAAUGUUUUUCUGAGUAAACAAGCAAAUAAAUUAAAACUUUCAACAACGGAUCUCUUGGCUCUGGCAUCGAUGAAGAACGCAGCGAAAUGCGAUAAGUAAUGUGAAUUGCAGAAUUCAGUGAAUCAUCGAAUCUUUGAACGCACAUUGCGCCCGCCAGUAUUCUGGCGGGCAUGCCUGUUCGAGCGUCAUUACAACCCUCAGGCCCCCGGGCCUGGCGUUGGGGAUCGGCAGAAGCCCCCUGUGGGCACACGCCGUCCCUCAAAUACAGUGGCGGUCCCGCCGCAGCUUCCAUUGCGUAGUAGCUAACACCUCGCAACUGGAGAGCGGCGCGGCCAUGCCGUAAAACACCCAACUUCUGAAUGUUGACCUCGAAUCAGGUAGGAAUACCCGCUGAACUUAA